UAAGUCACGUGAGAACCUGGGGACGCUAGGUUCCGGAACCUGACCUGAGCUGGGGCCUGUGCUUCCAGCGGGUGGUGGGGGGCCUGGUGUGCUGGCAUCAAGUAAGCCGACUACCUCGGCAAAGGCUUAGGGACAAGAGACCAGCAGCCUGAACUGGCUGGGGCAUCCGGAAGGCUUAGAUCUUGUGGCCAAGAGUUCAGACCGUGGCGAAGUGGAGAGUGACAUGCAGUUGGAUGGCGGUGACUGCGUGGUAUGGAAGAAAAUUCAGCUGAAAUUUGCUAGAAAAUGAGUUGUAUUGGAAAGAGACUGUAGAGAAAGGCAAAUGGAAGAAGAAAGCUUCUGUGCCCCCACAGAUACCGACUGAAAAGUGUUAGCAUGAGCAAAAGUUCCUAUCUAAUAUUAUAUGCUUUCCUUUGCUCCCAGGUCCUGCAACCCUGGUUCCAGUCUGGCAAGCAUUGUAGACCUGGCUGCUGAAGACUGACGGGGCCCAGGGUCCGCUGCCCCCACCGCCAUCACCACCUCGGAACCCAGGGUAACGCUGUCAGUCUUUGAUGAUGUCAGAAGUGGGAUCCAAAGUAGAGCUUAUAAUGACACCCAGGAGUGCUGAGUGACCAAGCAAGGUACCCACCAGGCCGAUUAUGUCCAUUGUUCUCUUGGAGCAGCUGGUCAUCAUGUGUAUUUUCACCAAGUAAAGAAAGCUUUGAAUGGUUCACUGACUGAGAACAAUAAACCUCUUCUUAAUCGAGAACCUGAAGAUCAGAUCUUCUGAGAACAUCAGAAAAAGACUUCCCUUGCCAUCCACACUGCAGCAAAACUUCAGGACCUUAAAUGCUGGGUUCAUAAUUUCACAACUGAGAAGGGACCCUCCACACUCUUGGAACUGUACACCUAGACCAAACUAAAAUACAGUCACUCUUGCUAAAUGUAACAUAAUCAAACUAAGACUUUAAGGAAACAAGCAAAUCCUAGAAAAGACCAGGUUUUUGUAUUUUUUUUCCUCCUGUAAACAGUACCUUCCAACAUAAGGAGGUACCCUCUACUCUAACACUUACAAAUAAUAAUAAUAAUAAUAACCUGGAGUCCUUGUAAGGUGAAACCUUACAAAACCCACUGCUCUGCUGUUUCCUAGUGGGUUUCAAGAGGAAAUAAGUACUUUUACAGUGGUGAUGGUGAAAUCAAUGACUAACAUUUUGGUCAAUCUCCCACAAUUUAGAGAAUGACCAAAAGGGGGGAAUUGUUAAAUCAAGUUUAUCCUAAAUUGAUGGGAUCAAUCAUACUCCAAACCUUGACAUCGCACAAUAUACCCAUGUAACAAACCUACACAUGUACCUCCUGAAUCUAAAAUAAAAGUUGAAAUUCUAAAAAAUGAAAUUAUUCUGGAGCUUUAAGAUUCAAUGCCUCUCUGCUGGGUUUUAUACUUGCUUAGAACCUCUUACUUCUUUCUUUCUGUGAUUCAUUUCUCCCUUUUGGAAUGGAAAUGUCUAAACUAUGUGCAUUCCACCAUUUUAUCUCAGAACUAAAUAACUUUUUUUAUAGGCUCAUAACUGGACUUUGGUCUUUUAAGUUGGUGCUGAAACAAGUUAAGACUUUAGAGACUGAUGGAAUUAUUGUAUUUUGUAUUUGAGAAGAACAUGACUUUUAGGGGGCCAGGAACAGAAUGCUAUGGUUUGGGUAUAGUUUGUUCUGUUGAAACUCGUGUUGGAAUUUGAUUUCCAAUGUUGCACUGUUGGGAGGAGGAUUCCAGUGGGAGGCAUUUGAGCUAUGGGGGUGAAUCCCUCAUUAAUACACUAAUACCUUUUCAUGGGGAUGAAUGAGUUCUCCCUCUCAUGGGAAUGGACUAGUUUCUAAGAUAUUGUGAUGGUAAAAUAUUCUGGCUCCUUUAGUUUCUAUAUCUUGCUUCCUCUGUUGCCAUGUGCUCUCUUUGCACACACACUCUCCUGUUCCUCUUUCCGCCAUGAGUGCUAGCCAUACCUUUCCUAUUCCUUUCCUCCUAUAACCUGUCUUGCCAUGCUUCAAGUCUGAAACCCUCAUCAGAUGCAGCUGUCCAAUCUUGAACUUUUCACCCACUAGAAUUGUGAAGCAAAUAAACUUAUUUUCUUCAUAAAUUGCCCAGCCUCAAGUGUUCUGUUAUUGCAACAUAAAAUGAACUAAGACUAUAAACUUAAUCAAGGUGGUAAAAAUCUUAUACACUAAAAACCAUAUAUAAUUGCUUUUUUAAAAAAAUCAAAAAACAGGAAAUAAAUGAAAUGUCAUCCAGAGUUCAUGGAUUGGAGGACUGAAUAUUGUUAAGAAGCCAAUACUACCUAAAGUGAUCUACAGAUCCAAUGCAAUUUCUAUCAAAAUGCCUGCUUUUUUUUGAAAAAUACAAAAAUACAUUCAAUAAUUCAUAUGGAAUCAUCAGGGAUUCCAAUUGCCAAACUGUCUUGAAAAACAAAAACAAAAUUUGCUGGGCACAGUGGCUCUCACAUGUAAUCCCAGCAUUUUGGGAGGCUGAGGCAGGAUGAUCUCUUGAGCCUAGGAGUUCAAGAUGCAGAGAUGGCAAGAUUCCAUUUCUACAAGAAAAUAAAGAAAUUAAGCUAUCAUGGUAGCAUGUGCCUGUGGUCCCAGCUACUCAGAAGGCUGAGGCUGUAGGAUUGCAUGAGCCCACUAGGUUAAGGCUGCAGUAUGUCAUGUACAUGCCACUGCACUCCAGGCUAGGUAAUAGAAUGAGACACCAUCUCCAAAAAUAACAUAAAAUAAAAAUAAAUAUAAAAUUUUAGGUCUCACACUUCCUAAUUUCAAAAAUUACUACAAAGCUACAAUAAUCAAAGCAAUGUGGUAGUGGCACAAAUACAAAAAAUACAGACAAAUGGAACAGAAUAGAGAGCCCAGAAAUAAAUCCUUUUAUAUGUUCUGAAAAGAUUUUCAACAUGGAUGCCAAGAUUAUUCAAUUGGAAAAUGACCAUCUUUUUUAAAAAUGGUGCUGGGAAUACUAGAUAUAUACAUACAAAAGAAUAAUGGUGGAUCCCCAUUUUAUACAGUAUAUUACAGUUCACUCAAUUUUGAUCAAAAGCCUAAGCACCAGAGAUAAAAGUAUACAUAUCUUAUAAAAAAAAAAAAAACCGGGAAAAGCUUCAUGCCAUUGGAAUCGGCAGUGCUUUCCUGCAUUUAACACCAAAAAACACAGGCAACAAAAAAAAUAAUCGAUAUAUUAGAUUUCACCAAAAUUCAAAACUUUUGUGCACCAAUGACCAUAUUAAUAAAGUGAAAAAGCCAACCACAUAAUGGGAGAAAAUGUUUGGAAAUCAUAUAAGAGAUUAUAUGCAAAAUACUUAAAGAACACUUAAAACUCAACAGCAGCAACAAAGAAAUAAUUCAGUUUAGAAAUAGGUGAGAGACUUAAAUAGACAUUUCUCCAGAUAAUAUAUACAGAUGGCUAAUAAAUACAUAAAAAUAUAUCAUUAAACGUUAUGUAAAUGCAAGUCAAAACCACAGCAGAAUAACGUUUUACACAAAUUAGUCAUUUGGAUGGCUGUAAACCAAAAAUAUUUUAUUUUAAUCCAAAAUAUAGGUUUUUUGACAUGUUUUGAGGUAGCUAUUUAGAGAGCCUUCAGAUAGAAAUAGCCUGAAAAGCUGAUUUUUGUGGGGGAUAUUUGCAUCUGUAGAUAAAAUCUACAUUGGUAAAAUAAACAGCUAGGCUUUCUGUGAGGACUCCCUCCCUCAUCUGGAUCUAAGAAAGACAAACUUCACUAUGGGCUACUAUCUAUUCUUUCAGAGAGAGAGUUCCUACCUGUGAACUUUCAUCUGCAUGACAAUACCAACUUUGCUAGCCAUACUUUUCCUAUUCCCUUCCUCCUAUAAGCUGUCUUGCCAUGCUUCAAGCCUGUCUUCUUUCUGUAAACCAGAAGUGGGUAUAAAAACAUCAACAAUCUGGCCCUUAUUCUGGGUGGUUCAUAUUUUGUAUGACUCCCAUGGACAUGUGUGCACAUUAAUAAAUUUCGUACACCUUUUAUUCCAUUAACCUUCCUUUUGUUAGUUGACUUUUCGUGAACCCUUGGAGGACAAAGUGGAAGUUUUCCCUUGGACUCUACAGCUAUAAUACAAAACCAGAAAAUAAUUGUUGGUGAUGAUGUGUAGAAAUUGGAACCCUUGUACUUUGCCGAUGCAAAUGUAAAAUGGUGCAUCCACUAUGGAAAACCAUAUGGUGGUUCUUUUUUUUUUGGUGGGGGGUUUAGGAGGGAAGCUUUAAUAGAAAAAAAAAAAGAGAGAGAAAGGAGAACAGCUCUCUCCCUUGCCAGAGAAAGGGGCUUCCAAAAGGAAAACCAUGCCCUCCAGGGACUGCACUAGAUUUUUUUUUUUUUUUUUUUUUUUUGUAAGAUGCAUCUUGUUUUACAAGUUGUUGACAUGUGGGGAAAGUACCUCUUAGAACUGAUGAAAUACUAUGUAUCAAUUCUCAGGAAACUUUGAAAUUACACAGAGGUAUAAAAGACACACCCUCACCCUGCCCCCCCCAAAACAAAACAAAACCAACAGCUCAAAAUUAUCUCGCUACCCACAUUAUGGUACAUUUUCCUAGCACAUAAAUAAUUUGUUUAAACACAGUCAUGUUAUAUAUGUGCCCUGAAUAUUUCCCAGUUGGUUUUUGGAAAACAUUUUUUUUUUUUCUAUCUAGAUUCAGCAACUGUUUUUUUUUUUUUAUUUUUUUUUAUUUUUUUUUUUAAUUGAUCAUUCUUGGGUGUUUCUCGCAGAGGGGGAUUUGGCAGGGUCAUAGGACAAUAGUGGAGGGAAGGUCAGCAGAUAAACAAGUGAACAAAGGUCUCUGGUUUUUCUAGGCAGAAGACCCUGCGGCCUUCCGCAGUGUUUGUGUCCCUGGGUACUUGAGAUUAGGGAGUGGUGAUGACUCUUAACGAGCAUGCUGCCUUCAAGCAUCUGUUUAACAAAGCACAUCUUGCACCGCCCUUAAUCCAUUUAAACCUGAGUGGACACAGCACAUGUUUCAGAGAGCACAGGGCUGGGGGUAAGGUCACAGAUCAACAGGAUCCCAAGGCAGAAGAAUUUUUCUUAGUACAGAACAAAAUGAAAAGUCUCCCAUGUCUACUUCUUUCUACACAGACGCGGCAACCAUCCGAUUUCUCAAUCUUUUCCCCACAUUUCCCCCCUUUCUAUUCCACAAAACCGCCAUUGUCAUCAUGGCCCGUUCAAAUGAGCUGUUGGGUACACCUCCCAGACGGGGUGGUGGCCGGGCAGAGGGGCUCCUCACUUCCCAGUAGGGGCGGCCGGGCAGAGGUGCCCCUCACCUCCCGGACGAGGUGGCUGGCCGGGCGGGGGGCUGACCCCCCCACCUCCCUCCCUGACGGGGCGGCUGGCCAGGCAGGGUGCUGACCCCCCCACCUCCCUCCCGGAUGGGGCGGCUGGCCGGGCAGAGGGGCUCUUCACUUCCCAGUAGGGGCGGCCGGGCAGAGGCGCCCCUCACCUCCCGGACAAGGCGGCUGGCCGGGCCGGGGGCUGACCCCCCCACCUCCCUCCCGGAUGGGGCGGCUGGCCUGGUGGGGGCUGACCCCCACCUCCCUCCCGGACGGGGUGGCUGCCGGGCGGAGACACUCCUCACUUCCCAGACGGGGCGGCUGCCGGGCGGAGGGGCUCCUCACUUCUCAGACAGGGCGGUUGCCAGGCGGAGGGUCUCCUCACUUCCCAGACGGGGCGGCUGGGCAGAGACGCUCCUCACCUCCCAGAUGGGGUCGCGGCCGGGCAGAGGCGCUCCUCACAUCCCAGACGGGGCGGCGGGGCAGAGGCACUCCCCACAUCUCAGACGAUGGGCGGCUGGGCAGAGACGCUCCUCACUUCCUAGAUGUGAUGGCGGCUGGGCAGAGACGCUCCUCACUUCCCAGACUGGGUGGCCAGGCAGAGGGGCUCCUCACGUCCCAGACAAUGGGUGGCCAGGCAGAGACGCUCCUCACUUCCCAGACGGGGUGGCGGCCGGGCAGAGGCUGCACUCUCGGCACUUUGGGAGGCCAAGGCAGGCGGCUGGGAGGUGGAGGUUGUAGGGAGCCGAGAUCACACGGCUGCACUCCAGCCUGGGCACCAUUGAACACUGAGUGAACCAGACUCUGUCUGCAAUCCCGGCACCUCGGGAGGCCGAGGCUGGUGGAUCACUCGCAGUUAGGAGCUGGAGACCAGCCCAGCCAACACAGCGAAACCCCGUCUCCACCAAAAAAAUACGAAAACCAGUCAGGCGUGGCGGCACGCGCCUGCAAUCGCAGGCACUCAUCAGGCUGAGGCAGGAGAAUCAGGCAGGGAGGUUGCAGUGAGCAGAGAUGGCAGCAGUACAGUCCAGCUUCGGCUCGGCAUCAGAGGGAGAUCGUGGAAAGAGAGGGAGAGGGAGACCAUGGGGAGAGGGAGAGGGAGACCGUGGGGAGAGGGAGAGGGAGAGUCAUAUGGUGGUUCUUAAAAAAAAAUAAACAUAGAGUUACCAUAUGGCCCAGAAAUUCCACUUCUGGGUGUAUACAUAUCUCAAAGAAUUAAAAACAGAGACUCAAACAGAUAUUUGCACAGCACUGUUCAUAGCAGCAUUACUCAUAAAAGCCCAAAAGUGGAAGCAAUCCAAAUAACCAAGGACAGGUGAAUGGAUAAACAAAAUGUGCUAUAUACAUACAAUGAAUAUUAUUCAGGCUUCAAAAGAAAAGGGAGUUUUGAUACAUGUUACAACAUGGAUUAAACUUGAAAACAUUAUGCCAAGUGAAAAAAGCCAGACACAAAAGAAUAAUUUGUGUUUUAUUUUACACAUAUAUGGUUUCUAGUGUAGCCAAAUUCACAGAAUAAAAAUGUGUAAAGGUGGUUUCCAAGGUCUAAAAGGAGGGAUACAUGGGAAGUUUUUGAUUAAUGGUUCAGGGUUGCAGUUUGGGAAUAUAAAACUCUUCUUGAGAUGAAUGGUUGUGAUGAUUGCACAAUGACGUGCAAGUACUUAAUGCCACUAUACUGUUCAUUUAGAAACAGUUAAAAUAGUACAAGUUAUGUAUACUCUAUGGUAUCUUUUUAAAGAUAUUAAGGGAAUACUAUAAACAACCUUAUGCCAACUAAUUUGACAACUUAGAUGAAAUGGAUAAAUUACUUGAAAUACAGAAACUGGUAAACUCACUAAAAAAAAUACAUAAUAUGAAUAAACUUAUAGCUAUUUAAUAAAUUAAAAUUCUAGUGAGAAAUCUUACCAAGAAAACACUGAGUCAAAUUGCACACUGAUGGAUUUUACCAAACAUUUAAUACCAAUUCUACUUUAACUUGUCCAAAUAAUGAAUCAGAAGAAGUACUUCUCCAACCAUUUUAUGAGAAAAGCACCACCCUGUCAACCUAAAGGGAAGAAGCUGAAGCAAAAUUAAUAUAAGGAGAGAGUAUAUUUGGGCCAAACUUGAGCAUUGCAACCCAGGCACAUAUAUUAAAGUUGCCGAAUGUGCACUCUGAUUAACAGCAGUUACACUUGUCUGUUUAAAGACAAAAAAUGGGUGACAGGGAAUGGGCUAAUACAGUAUUGUUUUUCAGGAAUUCUCAGUGGUUUACAAAAAUAACAUUGAUUAAUGAUUGGUUAUGUAUUACUAAACUAUAGGGUGUGGGUUACAAUGUCCUGCAUGAAUUAGGUGAAUUUUAUAGCUACUUGUAACAAUAGCAUGCACUUUCAAGAAAUAAAUACAUAGCUUCAAGAGGAAAGUGAAACAUGAUUUCUGUUUCAUAUUAAUGUCUCUCUGGAUCUGUUAACUAAAAGAAUUUGUAUUCCUCAGAUGGAAGUCAUUUUCUUUCCUCAACCCUGAUACCAAAAUCAGCCAAAGGCAUUAUAAGAAAGGAAAAUAAAAAGAAAAAAUACAGAUAAAUAUCCGAUUUUACUGACAUAAAAUUAUAAAAAAUUAGCAAAUUGAAUGCAACAAUAUUUUAAAAGUAUAAAGAAAAUCAGUUGGUAUUUAUCUUAGUAAUCCGUGUUUAUAUCCACAUUUAAAAUCGAUCAGAGUAAUUCUCCAUAUUAAUAACACAAAGACAAACAUAACCAUCUGAAUAGUUACUGAAUAAAUUGUGGCAAAAUUCAUCAUCCAUUCUUCAUGAAAAUUCUCUCAGCAAACUAGGAACAGAAGGAAACUUCUUGAACUAAUGUUCAAGGAAACUUGAACUAAUGUUCAAGAAAGGAAACUUCCUUAACCUAAUGAUGGGCAUCUAAGAAAAACAUGCAACUAAUAUCAUACUUGACCAUGAAAGACUCAAUGGUUCUCCUUAAGAUUAGAAAAAAAUACAGAAAGAUUUGCUCUUUGCACUUCAAUUCAGCAUUAAAUUAGAGAUUUGGCCAGUGGCAUAUAACAAGACACAGAAAUAAAAGGCACCUAUAUUUGGAAGGUAGAAGUAAAACUCUUUUUUUCUCAGACAACAUGAUCAUAUAUUUUAAAAAUCUAAAGGAAUAUACUAAUUUGUGUGUUUAGCAAGGUUGCAGGGUGCAAAUUUGGUAUACAUUAAAUUGUAUUUGAGUAUACUAACAAUGAAAAUGGGAUAUUGAAAUUUUAAAAAUUACUAUUCAUAAUGGAAUCAAAAAUAAAAAUACUUAAAAGUAAAUCUGAUGAAAUAUGUGAGAGACAUAUACUUUUAAAACUACCAAACUAUGGGCCGGGUGUUGUGGCUCACGCCUGUAAUCCCAGCACUUUGGGAGGCUAAGGUGGGCGGAUCAUGAGAUCAGGAGAUCCAGACCAUCCUGGCUAACAUGGUGAAACCCCAUCUCUACUAAAAAUACAAAAAAAAUUAGCCAGGCAUGGUGAUGGGCGCCUGUAGUCCCAGCUACUUGGGAGGCUGAGGCAGGAGAAUGGCGUGAACCCGGGAGGCGGAGCUUACAGUGAGCUGAGAUCAAGCCACUGCACUCCACCCGGGGCAACAGAGCAAGACUCCAUCUCAAAAAAAAAAAACAAAACAAAAAAAACUACCAAACCAUGAUAAAGAAAUGAAAUAAGACCUAAAUAAUUUGAGAAAUAUACUUUGUUAACUAAUCAGAUGUUUUAAUACUGUUAAGGUGUCAUUUCUUUGUAAAUUUAUGUAUAACUUCAAUGCAAUCAAAGUUAAAUUUCUGAAGUGUUUUUAUAGAAAUCAACAAACUGAUUAUACAAUUUACAUGGAAAUGUAAAGCCCCUACAAUAAUUAAAUAAAUUUUGAAAAAGAACAAAGUUGGAAGGCUAAAUCUACUUAAUUUCAAUAAUUAUUAUAAAGCUACAGUUAUCAAAAGUGUAUGGGAUUAAUCUAAUGACAGAGAAAUAGAUCCACGGAAUAAAAAAAAAAAAUGUCUAGAAACGAACCCACACCUACAGAGACAACUGAUUUUUACAAAGAUUUAAUGGCAAUUAACCAUUAAAUGGAGGAAACAUAGUUUUGUAAACAAAUAAGGAUGGAGUAAUUGGAUAUAUUUAUGUAAAUAUUAUAAACUUUUAAAAAAAAUUUAGUUUUUGUGGGUACAUAGUAGGUAUAUAUAUUUAUGGUGUACAUGAGGUAUUUUGAUACAUGCAAGCAAUGUAUGGUAUUCACAUCAUGGAAAAUGAGGUAUCAAUCCCCUCAAGCAUUCAUUCUUUGUGUUACAAACAAUCCAAUUAUAUUAUUUUAGUUGUUUAAAAAUAUACAAUUAAAUUUUCAUUGACUAUAGUCACCCUGUUGUGCUAUCAUAUAGUAGGUCUUAUAGAUAUUAGGUCUUAUAAAGUACUAUUCAGCCAUAAAAAAGAAUGAGAUCCUGUCAUUGGCAAAUAUUAUAAACUUUGAUCCACCCUCAUACCAUAUACAAAAAUUCUUCUAAAACAGAUUACAGACUUAAAUGUAAAUCCUAAAACUAGCAAACUUUUUUUUUUUUUUUUUUUGAGACGGAGUCUUGGUCUGUUGCCCAGGCUGGAGUGCAGUGGCGCGAUCUCGGCUCACUACAAGCUCUGCCUCCCGUGUUCACGCCAUUCUCCCGCCUCAGCCUCCUGAGUAGCUGGGACUACAGGUGCCUGCCACUACGCCCGGCUAAUUUUUUGUAUUUUUUUUUAUUAGAGACGGGGUUUCACCGUGUUAGCCAGGAUGGUCUCGAUCUCCUGACCUCGUGAUCCGCUCGUCUCAGCCUCCCAAAGUGCUGGGAUUACAGGCGUGAGCCACUGCACCUGGCCAAAACUAGAAAACUUUAGAAGAAAAAAAAAUCUUUGUAACAUUGUGUUAGAAAAAUAUUUUUGAUUCAACAGAAAAAAUACAAUAUAUAAAACAAAAAUUAAUAUGUUUGACUUUAUCAGAAUUUAAAAUUGUUGCUUUUUGAAAGACACAAGAAAAUUAAAACAAAAGCCACAGACUAAGAAAAGAUCUUUGAAAAUUAUAUAAUUGAUGAAGGACUUGUAUCCAGAUUAUAUAAAGAAAAGUAAAAAACUUAUCAAUAAGAAAACAAACAACCUAAUAAAAGUCAGCAAAAUAUUUGAAACAAGAAAAAUACAUAAAUGGCAAACAAGCACCUAAAAAGGUAUUCAACAUCACUAGGCAUAGUGAAAAUACAAAUUCAACUGCAAUGACAACACUGCAAACUUACUAGAAUAGCUAACAUUGAAAAAGACUGAUCAUACCAAGUAUUGUUAAAGAUGUGUGCAGAAACUGGAACUCUAAAAUACUGCUAGUCAGAAUGUAAAAUGGGACAACCUUUUUGGAAAAUAGUUUUGUUACCAGAAACAGGUCCUGAUCCUGAUCCAAAAGAAGCCUCUUGGACCUUGCUCAAGAAAGAAUUUGGGGUGAGUCUAUAGAGUAAAUAAAAAAAAAAGUUUAUUAAGGAAGCAAAGGAAUGAACGAAUGGUUACUGCAUAGGCUGAGCAGCAGCAUGGGCUGCUCAACUGAGUAUACUUAUAGUUAUUUCUUGAUUAUAUACUAAAUAAGGGAUGGAUUAUUCAUGAGUUAUCCAAGAAAGGUGUGAACAAUUCCCAGAACUGAGGGUUCCUCCCCCUUUUAGACCACAUAGGGUAACUUCCUGGUGUUCCCAUGACAUCUGUGAACUGUCGUGGUGCUAGUGGAAGUCUUUUGGCAUGCUAAUACAUUAUAAUUAGCAUAUAAUGAGCAGUGAGGAUGACCAGACUUUCGUACCUUUCUUGAUAUUCAUGGGUUUUGGCCAGCUUCUUCAUGGCAACCUGUUUUAUCAACAGGGACUUCGUGACCUGUAUCUUGUGCUGACCUCCUAUGUCAUCCUGUGAUUAGAAUGCCUAACCUCUUGGGAAUGCAGCCCAGUAGGUCUCAGCCUUAUUUCACCCAGCCCCUAUUCAAGAUGGAGUCAUUCUGGUUCAAACACCUCUGACAGUUUCACAAUUUCUUAUAAAUUUAAACACAUAGCUAACAUCUGAUCCAGCUAUUCUACUCCUAGAUAUUUAUCUAAGGAGAAAUGAAAUAUUGUCCAUACAAAUACAUGUACAUGAAUAUUCAUAGCACUUUUGUAUGUAAAAGCCAAAAACUAGAAAUAAUUUAAUUGUCUCUCAAGGGAUGAAUAGAUAAACAAAUUGUGGUCAAUUUGUUUAUUCAUAGGAUGGAAUAAUACUCAGCCAUAAAGAGAAAUAAUUGCCAAUAAUGUGGAUGAAUAUAAAAAUAACUAUCCUGAAUGAAUGAAGCCUGAAAAUAAGGAGUACAUAUUAUUUAAUUCCAUUAACAUAAACAUCUAGAAAACUCAAACUAAUCUAAAAUAACAUAAAGUACAUUCAUUGUUGCUUGGGGAGUGUAUGUGUGCAAGGCUGGAGAGGGAUUACAAAGGGCUAUGAGGAAACGUUUGGAGGUGGUGUAUAUGUUCACUCUUCUGAUAGUAGUGAUGAUUUCUCAAAUUGUAAAAACCUUUGAAACUGUACAUAUGAAAUAUUUUAAAUAUAUAUCAAAUAACUACACAUAAUUUUUGAAAAGAUCUUUAGAAAAAUAAUCUCUUGUGAAAAACAAAAAUUCCAUAGUAUAGAUAAUAUAGAAAAGCCAGUCAUGAGAUAUCUAGGUGGCUCUCAACUUUUCACGUUAGUAGAAGAGGAUUCACAUUAAACAAAAGUAAAGGAGCGAAUAAUUGAAAAGUAAAAUCUAUUUGGAGUUUGAAUAAUUUUUUUAAAUUAUAUUUUAAUUUUAAUAUAUGUGAAAUACUAAAAUUUGUCAACAUUUCAAAUACCAUCAUAUAUCUUCCAUGAAGUUUAGAGUUAGGACUCAAUGAAAGUUCAUCUCUAAAAUUUCUGCCUGGCUAAUUUAUGUUUCCUCAGAGAAACAAACUAUUUGUUUAUAAGGGCUUUCUUGGCAAUCUAAUUGAGUUGUUACGGGUGCAAAUUGGUAACUGUUGUUAGAACAACCGAAGUUUUAGCUGAUAGCUAAUAAAUCAGUUAAGCCUUACAUUCAAAUUUUUCUAAAUAGCAUAUAUUUUGAGGAUACUGGCAAAGAUCAACUAAAAAGUGAAUUAUUUCCGAAUAGGAAUGAAGGGUGAGGGGAGAGGUGAUAUUUGAUAAAUGUCAGGGUAAAGCUUUGAGGUCUUUUUCUUCUCUUCUCUUGUUCUAGUGUCUUCUCUGUAGAAACAAUAGAAACUCUCCUUUGAAGUAAUUAAUGCAAAAUUCCUCAGCAACUGCAGACUGUUAAGUAGAGCAGCCACUGUGAUGUUUCCUGAGAUGAAACAGCCUGGAUCAGCCACCAUGAUAAAUAGGAAGACCUUUUAUACUAGUAUCCCAAAGGGUGAGAGUAAACUGGCAGAAAGUAAUCUUGGCCCCAGACAAACGUCAGCUAUUUUAGUUACUAGAGAACAUUUUUAAAAAGUCUAUGUGUAAGACUAAAUUUUUAUAUUUGUUAUACUAGGUUGGCAAAAAAGUAUAUUUAUUCAAAAGUUGUUGUAAUGUAUCAUUUUAAAAUAUAAUUUUUGUUAUUAAGUUCAAGUUAUUAGGGUCUUUUCUUUGGAGGCUUUUUCAAGGGGAAUAUAAAUGUUCUUAAUAUUAUCAGAUAUACUUCCAGAAUUAAUACAUAGAGCGGACCUUGUAGCCAAAGAAGCACAACUAGUGGAAAAGUGAAAAAAACUGUUGUUGACACGGGAAUGUUUGUUAUUGGAGUUAUCGCCUCACUUGCUUUUUUUUUUUUUUCUCUUCUCCCUCUGGGUAUAGGAAAGUACAGAUAGGAGUUAAUAUCAAUAGCUCCUUCCUGACAAAAAAUAAGAAAUUGGAAUAUGAAAGGGAUUGAUUUGAGUUAAGAGAAGGAGUUGUGAGAAUGAAAAUUCCCAAGUUAGUAGGGUCUGAUUUUGGACACGUUUUUGGUUUCAAUGCACCAAAUAUUUAUAGAACUUACAGCAUCACUUAAGAGAAAGAGCAGAGUCUGAAAGAUUAGGUGGCUGACAUCAUACAGUGCAAAGAUUCAGAGUGGGAUUUGAAGUUUUGAAUAGAACUGCAUAUAUAUCUAAAAAGAUAAGGCCAAAAGAAAAUAACUGUUUUAACCUGGUAGACAAUCAGAGAACUUGAUAUACCCAAUUUAAAAUUUCUUCUAUUCUCCGUUAUAAAAUGGAGAUUUUAUGAUGCGAAAAAUAGUAGAACAUAGUGAUGAGAAAAAUAGUAGAACAUAGUGAAUGCUACAUUGUUUUGAAAAUUAGGUAGUAUUAUCAUGGGUUUGCUUUGGAGUUUUACUCCCUUACCCCUCUCCUUUCUUUUUUUCACUAGUAUUUAUCUGACCCCCACAAUCUUCUAUUUUAUAAGGUUUGGGUAAAUUUUAUUUCUCUGUUAUCUUUUCCUUCCACAUCACAGUUGCUGGCCUUGAGACCAGGUUUGUUGUUCCCCUUCUCUUUCUCAGAGAAGUGUUUUUUUUUUCUUUUAAAUUGGGAAAUUUAAUAUUUUUGCAAGGGCAAGAUAGAAGAGUCAAAAAACAAAUAAUAAAGUGGAAAAAUAUCUAAGACACAUAUGACAGGCAAAGGCUAGGCCAGCAAUCGUGUUUAAUGACUUGUUUAAUAUAUAGAGGGAAUUGUAUUGAUAUAGGUACAUAUUCUCAAAAACCAUUCUUGUUAAUGAAUAUUCACACAUAAUAUUAUGUUACAGGUAUUUGAACCAGAGUAACUCCAUCUUGAAUAGGAGCUGGGUAUAAUAAGGCUGAGACCUACUGGGCUGCAUUCCCAGGGGUUAGGCAUUCUAAGUCACAGGAUGGGAUAGGAGGUGGGCACAAGGUACAGGUCACAAAGACCUUGCUGAUAAAACAGGUUGUGGUAAAGAAGCAAGCCCAAACCCACCAAAACCAAGAUGACAAUAAAAGUGACCUCUGGUCAUCCUCACUGUUCAUUAUAUGCUAAUUAUAAUGCAUUAGCAUGCUAAAAGGCACUCCCAUCAGUGCUCCCACAACAGUUUACAGAUGCCAUGGCAAUCCAUGAGGGCAGCCACUGCACCUGCCCUGCUGACUGCCUGGUACAGAGCUGGCACAGAGCAGAUGCUCCAUAACAGCUCUCUGAGUGACAGGCUGCAAGGUCCCCUGGCCCCAAGGCUGGAGCAACCGGGACUUUCAUGACUGCUGUGUGUUCCCCAGUUGUAGGGGGCAAUGCCAGGAAGUUACCCUAUAUGGUAUAAAAGGAGGAGGAACCCUCAGUUCUGAGAAUUGCCCACCCCUGGCAUUUAAAGAGAAAAUUUUAUAUGAAAAUAAAAUAAAAUAACAAUGAUUAAUAGUUGGAGCAGACUAUUAACCCAGUUUCUGAGUCCAGAGAGCAGCCAGUUGAGAAGAUUUCUUGAUGUUGGUUAAACAUUUCUAGAUAUUGGGAUUAAAGCAUCUUUAGACCUUUAGAUGAUAAAGUGAGGACAGCAGGAACCAUCUGAUGGAUUUCCUGGUCUGCAGUUUGGAUGUCUCUGUUGAUGGUAUAAACAUCAGUGUCACAGUCAUGGUUAUUUCCCAAGAGCAAAGUAUAGAAACAUCCAGCUUUUUCUAACAGGGCUUUUUCAGAUAGUCUCAAUCUGAGCAGUAAGAUUUCGGUUCUUAGUGACUCCAAGUCAGGAAAGUGGAAGAAAAAUUGAAAACAUUAGCUUUGGAGGUUGUAGCCAGAUAUUAGAGAAAAUUAGAAGAAUUGACAAGUUGAUAAGGACUGAUUAAAUGUGGAAGGUUGAAAGAUCCAGUACAGUUAUACGUAAGUAAAAAAACCUCAAAGACAAUUAAUAAGACUCAAAUCUAAUAACCUACAAGGGUGUGUUACAGUUUUCCAUUGAAUCAUAAAGUUUCCCUCUUUAUGUUUCCCCCAGUCUUUUUUAUUCUUCUUUAGUUAAUAAGUCUCAAAUUAUUAGAUUUGGCUUGAUUAUUUACAUAAUGGUGGCAAGAAUGAUAAUUGACCACGUAAGUCUUUUUGAGUCUGCUUUGCUGGAACUUCUCACGUGAAAUCUCAGAUUAGACUUUGAAAAUCCUCUCCAGGCUAGAAAGACAAGCCGAGAACACACCACCAGAUUUUACCUGCCAAAUUUAACCUUUAGAUCUAGGUGGAGUCCUCUCUUUUUGAGAUCCCUCAAAGAUUUCAAGGUUCAAAGGCCUGCCAAGAAGACCUUUCUCACUCAUUGUAAGGCUGGAAACUCUGUAAGCCGGAUACCAGGCUGGUUUCCCCAAGAAAGCUUUGUAAGAACUGGCUCCACUCAAUCAACCUUAGUUUGUUAAAACUGUCUGGUCAUAUCUGACACUAUGCACAUCUUUAUCGAAUACGACAUUCCAGUCAAAGUCUUGGUUAUGCAAUGAAUGAUUCCAAUUAUGUCUCUUCAAAAGUGGAACAUAUUCUUAUUUACUUUAUGCAAAUAAUUAUAUUACAAUAAAAAUGAGAUCACUCAGUAAGAAUUUCCAGAUUCUGGAGAGAACAGACAGGGAGAAAAUUAAAUGUUGCAUUUCUGUUUACAAAUAUAUAAUUUACUAAUUGUUAAUUAUUAGAAAUAAUUUAAGAGAAAAGGGAAACAGUUUCCUUACAUCCAGAACAUUGAUAUUAAAGAACUAGCCAGUUUCCACUCAAAAAGCCAUAAUAAAUUAUAAGCAUUCUUUAUAAAUUUAUCCAAUCCUGUGUAAUUACUUCCUAUUCUUCUAAAUCUUGGGUUCACAGUUUGAUGAACCCAUCAUCUUCUCUACUAAAAUUCUGGAAAUCCUCAUGCAGUCAAGUGAUAUGAUUUCCAAGUUAUUUAAGCAAUGCCUUCAGAAGCCUGUACCCUGUAAUACUAGUCAUAGUCCUUUCUAUGAGUCUCUUAGAUACUCCCUCUUUGUUGAAGUCCUUUCUGUCCUUUUUUUUUUUUUUUUUCUUUAGAUGGGGCCUCACUCUGUCACCAGGCUGGAGUGCAGUGGUGUGAUCUCGGCUCACUGCAACCUCUGUCUCCCUGAUUCAAGCAAUUCCCCUGCCUCAGCCUCCCGAGUAGUUGGGACUACAGGCGCGCGCCACCAUGCCCAGCUAAUUUUUUUUCCCUUGUAUUUUAGUAGAGACAAGGUUUCACCAUGUUGGCCAGGAUGGUCUCAAACUCCUGACCUUGUGAUCUGCCCACCUUGGCCUCCCAAAGUGCUGGGAUUACAGGCGUGAGCCACUGCGCCUGGCCAACAAUAAGAACAUUUUAAUAGCAGACUUGAAUAUAUUUAAUUUUUUUGUAUUAUAUAAAAAUAAGAGGCCAAGAGUACACAAACUUAAACUUAUAAAUACAUUUGUAUUUUAUGUUACUUAGAAUUGAUCUAAAUAUUUAAUUAAUGUUACUUAACUUAGCAUAACAUUAAAUUUGCAAGUUACCAAAAAGAUUUUGAAAAGUAUUUUUAAGCAAAUGUAUUAUUACAUUAAACUAGCUAGUCAUCAUCUCAAAUUAUUUUCCUGUUAAUUAUUUUUACAGCACAUGCGUGUUAGAAAUGUAUCAAAAAGUUAAAACCAAAAAACUUAUUAUUUUUUUCUUUUUUUUUUGAGAUGGAGUCUUGGCUCACCGCAACCUUCUCCUCCCAAGUUCAGGUGAUUCUCCUGCCUCAGCCUCCCGAGUAGCUGGCAUUACAGGCAUGUGCCACCACGCCCAGCUAAUUUUGUAUUUUUAGUAGAGAUGAGGUUUCUCCAUGUUGGUCAGGCAGAUCUCGAACUCUUGACCUCAGGUGAUCCUCCUGCCUCGGCCUCCCAAAGUGCUGGAAUUACAGGCAUGAGCCACGUGCCCAGCUAUUUUUUUAUUUUUUUUUUACUGCUGUUUACUUGGACUUCUGUUCUUAGGUUGAAUCUAUAAUUUUUAUAAUCUUGAACAUCUAGUAACCAAGUCCAGUGCUUGUAGCACUCACUGCAUGACAGCCAAUAAGUUGGUAGAAGGUAUUUGGACAAGGAAAACAACUUUAUUCAGAGCCAGCAAACUGAAAAGAUAGCAGAAUUAGUAUCCUAAAGAACUAUCUUAAGGUAAUAUAAAUUUUAGGCUCCUCCUCUGAGGAGGGAGGAAAAAGUGGGGGGUGAGGUUAAGAGGUGACCAAUGACCACAGACAUCUGGGCAGCAGCAAGGGUCUAAGAGGACUGUGAAACUUCUUUAUUCUUUUUCCGUUGACUUUGAAUGGUGUAAUAUUCAGGUCACAAAUGUUCCUGUCAAUCUUUAGCAUAACAUCAUUAGUAUGUACAUACUUUCUUGUUUCCUCGGGGGGUUAGCAUUGGAAAAGAUAUCAUUAUUGUCCUUGAUUUAAAGUAGAACUAUAAAUUAAAUUCCUUCCAUAGUUAGUUUGCCCUGCAUGCAGAGAUAAGCAAAAGUAAUUUAAAAGAUAUCACCAUGCAGAGGCUAGGAGCGAAAUGCGGUUAGUUGUGCUAAACUUCCUUUUCACUGUUACAAUAUUACCUUAUUUCACUAGUAAAACCAAGUAGAGUAAAAACGUAUGUUCAUAUUAUACUCGAUAGGUUUAGAAGACACUACCACAAAAUAUGGCACCUUGGCAUGUUAACUAUUUUAAGCUAAAAGAACUUGAGAAAUGUCAGGAAGGACUUUGACAUUCCUCUGUCCUUCUCCACUAAUGUAGAUAAUAACAGAUUUAUAUAACAGGUUCCCUCCCAAUACCCAGAGGAAAGGAGCAUCCUUAUCUCUGAAGAUGGAGGGACAGUGAGAGGAAUUUGAAUGAACGAGCUAUGUUAAGAUCCUUUCAGUUUACUACACUUAGCUCAUACCCUUUGUCUUAUGACAUUCUUCCAAAACUUUCCACUCUUCAUCAAACCUAUCAUAAAAAAAACUCAGGUUUAAUUAUUUCUUCAGGUCUUCAUUUCAUCAUGAAGGCUUUCAUGUCACAAAAAACUAAUAAUAAAUGCAUUUGUGUGCUUUUAUCUGUCAAUAUUUCUCUUGUUAGAGCCCUAUCUGAGAACUUCAAAGGGUGGAAAGUAUUUUUCUUCCCCUAUGUACUUAAUGCUGAUAACUCAGAAGGCAUACCCAUAUUUGUUAAACCAAUAAUAUCAAACUAGUCUUAUUUACCAAAUUUAUGUAAUUACAUAUACUUGAAAAACAUUUUGAUUAGUUUCUAUAUUUCUGGAAGUUUAAGGAAUGUUUAAUUUACAUAUGUGAUUAUCUCUAAGCCUAUCAGAAAAGACUAUCUUUAUAUGAUUUUAGGAAUUAAUUUGGUAAUGUUAUUUGGAAAUAAAAAAUAUCGCAUAUACAUAACAUACAUACAUACCCAAACAUACACAGACAGAUGCAAAUAGACACUAUAGCUUUUAUUCUGAAAUUUGUCAUGAGUCUGAUAAAUACAGUAAUAUAAAACUCAACAGUUUAUUUAAAAUAGCUGGUUCUCAUCUUCUCUCUGCUUCAUAUUUUUAUCUGAAUUGUAUUGCUGGUGAUAAAAAAAUGUUACCUUCUCAAUAUUUCUUUUUAACAAUAUUCAUGGAGGAGACUUUUAAGAUUUUCUUUUGUUCCAAUAUGUACUUGGUUUUAAGUUCCCCAAAUACCUUGAGAGCCCUAAUGGGGAAGGAGGGGCCUAAAGUUCAAGUGACUAUAGGGAAUUCAGGAGCUGGAAUGGGAAGGGAAAAGUCUGGCAGGGAUGGAUGGAUGUGUGGAGGAGGUAGACUGUUGUGAAGGAAGACAUUUCAAAGAAUCCAAGGAAACUGAAGGGAAGAUGGAAGGUGGUAAAAGAAGGAGGGAGGAGCAGAAGUUAUCGGAAGGGAGAGGUCAUAGAUGAGCAAGUUUGGAUAGAUUUUAGGUUUCUGAAGAAGCCAAUGGAGUUCCAUUUUUCUCAGUAAAAUCAUGCCAACAAGGUAGAAAGUGGGCAGUUAGCACCAUAGUGGUAGAACAUAUAGUUACCAAGGGUUCAACAAAGGGAGGUUCAGUUGACAGAAAAUUUCCUAUGGGAAAAGCAGGAUCAAAUAGAACAAAGAGGCCUCACAAGCAGCCAAGAAAAAAAAAAAAAAAUUCCGAGCCACGGGUAAGUGAAUAUCCACUCAAAAGUUCCAGGAGGAACUUCCAGCUUAGGAAGUACCUUUCAAGAUAUCUAAUUGAGCUUCGGAGAAUGUACUCAGAAUCCUAGGAAUUAAAAUCUGUCCUUAACAUGCUUCAGUGGACUGUCAUCCAGAGCACUGGCUCAAGAGUUGGACUCACCAAUGGAUCUCUGAUCAAUAACUAAGGAGUGAAGACAAAGGCUUCAAUGGCAUACACUUAGGGUCUUGGGUGAGAAGUCUGGGGGUCCAACGACACAUUUGAUGCUAAGCUGUAGCCCCAUAACUGUUGAAAAUUAUUCUGACACUUGUUAAAAUGUAAGGAAAACUUGAUUCAGGAUUGUUAAAGUAGGUAUCAGGACUGUCACAAUAGAGGUGAGAGAUUGGGUUCAACUCUGAAUACAGCAAAGAACCCAGGGAAUAUAUAGUCAAUGAGCAGAAUGACAGGUUCACUAGAUGGAAUUACUAAGAGGAGACUUCACAUUGGAGGCAAUUCUUGCUAAACCAAUGUAACAGGAUUCUUGCUGAUGGCCAAGGUGAUCAGAUAUCAAGGCGAGGAAUGAGGAAUUUGAUCAGAAAUGAGGAUGAUCAAAUAUCAAGGGUGGGGAAUUCUCUGUAAGCAAAAUUAAUAGAAUUAUUGUUAAACUGGACAAAUAGGCUGAAGACAAGGACCAAGGAUGACGCCUAGUAAAAAAUAUGACUAAGAGGAACCUGUCUAAAGUUUAGUCUUUGCCUCAAUUCUGCCAAUACUUUAAGGAGACAAAAGGUCAUCCUAAUUUUUGAUUUUAGGCUUUUGAAGCUAAAAGGGGAGAAAAUUCACUACAUGUUAAAUAUGCCUUACUAUAAUUUUGUUUCUCAUAUUUUCUUGCUUUCUGAGUUCAAAUAUACAUGCAUGAGCAUAAACAGAGACCUAGAGAAAUGAAGCAAUGAAGCACUUUAGUUAUGGAAGGCAAGUACCUCCUCUCUCUCUCUCUCUGUCACACACACACACACACACACACACACACGCACACCUGUAUCUCGAGAUCUGAACUAGUCUAAUGAUUGGCAGCAUGGCAAGAGCUGAUUGUUAAAUAUUCUGAAAUUUGGAUGUUAAACUGUCUGUAUCUUGAAAUUGGCUAAGGUGGGAGUAUUUACACAAUGGAAACUGGCAAACACUGCAAAUUAAGUUUUUUUUCCCCCCUAAAGAGCAGGUUUACCAGCACACCACUGGAUGUAAGCAACAAUGUAUUUAAGAGGUCUCUCUGGUUGUAUAAAAAUAACUUUCUAGGGCUGGUCUUUCAUUUUUCUUUAUUUUCUUUCUUUAAUUUUUGGGCUUCUUUGCCACUUUUUAAAGAGGACCAGAAGGUAAGUAUAGCUUAAAGAUGUGUUGUCCUCCCAGUGAUCCUGCUCUUGCUCUUCCUCUCUCCUCUUUUAAAGUAUUCAAUCAGCAUUAGUAGCUCUUGAGAACUUUUCAAGCUUUCUAUUGUUUUCUAUAAUUAGCAUGAUCUUAAACAGGGAUCUGCUUAACACAUUUUUGAGUUUCAAAAAACUCACUAGCAAGAGCUAUCAGCCACACAAAACCAUUCAUAAGUUUCAGGAACCUAUUUUCUCAAUUCAGAAAGACAUUAAAGCAAACUAUAAAGAUAAGGAUACAUUUUAUAAAAUAGUAUGCUAUCACUAGUAAGUUUUCAUUUCCCGUUGAUUUUCUAGAUUACAAAUCAUGUCUACAUUUCCUUAGUUUUAUUCCAUGCCCCUUAAUUCAUUUCUUCCUUAUUUUACAAUAGAACAGUGUUUUCAUUUACUAGCUUUGCUCUUUCUAGGCAAAUGCAGACCUCUGCCUCUAGCUCUGCAUUUUCUAGCUAGGCCCUAGUCACAUGUGGCUAUUUAAAUUUAAGUUAAUUAAACCUAAAUAAAAAUAAGAAUUCAAUUUCCCUAUCAAACUGGCAACAUUUCAAGUGCUCAAUAUUCACUUGUGACUUUUGCCUACUAUAUUGCUGACCAAUUUCCUGAAAGGAUUGGUGAACUUCUUCUGCAAAAGUAAAGUUGAUCCCUUUAUUAUCAUGUAAUCCGCUUCUUUGUCUUUUUUGAUCUUUGUUGGUUUAAAGUCUGUUUUGUCAGAGACUAGGAUUGCAACCUCUGCUUUUUUCUGCUUUCCAUUUGCUUGGGAAAUAUUCCUUCAUCCCUUUAUUUGAGCCUAUAUGUGUCUUUGUACAUGAGAUGGGUCUCCUGAAUACAGGACACCGAUGGGUCUUGACUCUUUAUCCAAUUUGCCACUCUGUGUCUUUUAACUGGGGCAUUUAGCCAGUUUACAUUUACGGUUAAUAUUGUUAUGUGUGAAUGUGAACCUGUCAUUAUGAUGCUAGCUGGUUAUUUUGCCCAUUAGUUGAUGCAGUUUCUGCAUAGUGUCAAUGGUCUUCACAAUUUGAUAUGUGUUUGCAGUGGCUGGUCAGGUUUUUCCUUUCCACGUUUAGCACUUCCUUCUGGAGCUCUUGUAAGGCAGGCCUGGUGGUGACAAAAUUGCUCAGCAUUUGCUUGUGUGUAAAGGAUUUUAUUUCUCCUUCGCUUAUGAAGCUUAGUUAGGCUGGAUAUAUAAUUAUGGGUUGAAAAUUCUUUCCUUUAAGAAUGUUAAAUAUUGGCCCCCACUCUCUUCUGGUUUGUACAGUUUUGCAUGUCUUCUUUUGAGAAGUCUUUCUUCAUGUCC